GCCUUUGCACCAGCUGUUGCCUCGGUCGCAGAGCCUCUUCCUCAGCCGGUUCUUCAUCCUCCAACUCUUCUCAGCAGUCCAGGUAUUCCAUCCCAUCACUACCAUUUAUUUUGCUACUUAGCAUUCCUAUUAUAACAAACUAUUUUAUUACAGUAUUUGUGACUGAGUCACAGGGUCAUUAGGUGCUUAGCAAACACUUAUUAAAUGACUGGAGCUCAUGAAGGACGUCCGCACUUGCUCAUCCUGUCCCAGACAACGCUCCCCACCCGCCCAUCUCCCGAAGGGCAGGGAAGCAGAGAUUCUCGAACCUAGAUGCCGACCUGUUGAUUUCUUCAUGCUUUGAAGCUGAGCAGGUGCCGCAGGUGGAGUGGCCAUGCUCGGAGGCCGGAUCUGAGUCACAGCCCCAAGGAAAGCCACAUUCUGGGCCAUACGACCUCCUACGUGCCUUGGCGUGGACAGCAUCCUUGCCAUGCCUUGGGCUGCUUGGGGAUGUGCACCCGAGGGGAGAUCUUGUUCCUUUGCUCAGAGAAGGGAGCUUGAGAAACCGGAGCUCUAAACCAGCUCCGAGCAGUAUCGGAGGGAAGCCAGAGGGUAUGGGAACUGCCUCGCAACCCCCGACUGGAAAAAUCCGACAAGACCAAGAGUUUCCUGACUCCCUUUCUUUCAUUUCGUAAACAUAACUUCUGUGAGAUGUCCUUUGGUUUAUUUUUGCUGUUUAUUAAUUUCUGCUCUCUGAACCCUCUCGGCUACAUCAUGGACCAAGCAGGAAAAGCUCUAAGACGGAAUUAAAUAAAAUGGGACUUUUCCUAUUUUUGUAGGAAGAGAUGGAAUAUUGAACGUUUUGGUACGCGGUGCUGUUUAGGGAACGCUGAUUGUACCUUUAAGGAUGGAGCUGAAGGCCGUUCUCUCAGCGCUAGUCCUCGUUAGUAUAGUGGUGAGUAUCCCCGCCUGUCACGCGGGAGACCGGGGUUCGAUUCCCCGACGGGGAGACAGCAGGAGCUCUUUUAACGCCUAUAUCACAUUUUCAUUUCUCUUCCAAACGAAUUUAACCUUCAUAAAAAUUCCUUAGUCUUCUCUGAAAGAAUAAACCUAGCCGGCAACUGA